CCAACACACAGAUUUGCACAGAUUCUCUAACACACAUUUCCUCAACUGGAGGGGACAGCCCACGCAGAGCUGGUGAACCCUGAGAAAAGUGGGUUCUGGUCUUGUUUGGGGGGCGCAGAGAAACUAUUCUUUCCUCUCUCACUCAGCGCCACUAACAAAACGCGCGGACUCAAGAGGAAAAAAAGAAAAGGAGAAGAAGAAGAAGAAAACUCCACGUAGUGGAUCCCGAACCCACUCACUGUGACAUUUGUCUAGGGUAGUCGUCCACGGGGGGACAAACGUGCUGGAAGCCGGAGACACAGACCCAGAGCGGGACCCAAACAAAUACUACUGGAGAUAAAAGAGUCAAAAACACCGGGUCGGUGUUCUUUCCGGGUUGUCUGAGGAUAAACGAGGGACUCGGUUGACUUACACUGAGGACAGGGGGGGAGGAGGAUCAAAGGGAAGAGAGUGGUGAUCCCCCAAGAUGAGCUCUUUGAGAAAGGCAGCCCCAAGAAAACACUCACUUUCCUGAGACUCAAAGGCCGGGAGAGCGGCUGGUGGGAGGUACAAAGUCCUACUUGGCAAAAUUUGGCUUUUUGCUCAAGUAUCUUCACAGAGCCUUUGUCCAUCUUCAUCCUAGUGGAAAACACCUUGCAGGGUGGAAAGCCCAUGCGGACAUGUGAACCAUCAGCCUUUUCCUGCUGUUUCUCUGCCGUAGUCACAAAAGGAUUAGCUAAACUGAUGACCAAAAAGGCAAAAUUGCACCUUUGUUCUGCUCCUGCCAUUCCUGUCAAGCAAGGAAGUUGGAAGGUGGAAAGAGCGCCCUCUGCUGAACUUGUAAGCGUGGCCUGGGUCCUUGGAGAUGCCAUACUCAGAAUGACGCCAAUUGGAAAAACAAUCAGAAACACCUUUGGAGCUUUGGGAAGAAAUAUGUGUGACCGGGUUCCACUACUCCAGUUCUGGAGGUCCUGAGGAGAAGCUCAUGGGUUGGCUCUGGGGUGAAGGCUGCCAUAUGUAACCAGACCUUUCAACAGAUUUGCAGGAGUCAGACAUAUAAUCACUUGAAAACCACUGGUAUCGCUCAUUUGUGUAACCUUAAUAAAUAAAGGCAUUUAAAAACCA